rnacentral:tRNA from 1 species
GCCUGGGUGGCUCAGUCAGCUGAGUGUCUGACUUCGGCUCAGGUCAGGAUCUCACAGCUGGUGGGUUCAAGCCCCAUGUCAGGCU